UCGUCCACCUGCUGGGGGCAGAUGAAAUGGAUGUGGCAGUCGAUGCCGCCGGCGGUGACGAUGCGGCCCUCGGCGGCGAUGAUCUCGGUGCCGGGGCCGAUGACGAUGGUGACGCCCGGCUGGGUGUCGGGGUUGCCGGCCUUGCCAAUGGCGGCGAUGCGGCCGUCCCGCAGGCCGAUGUCGGCCUUGGUGAUCCCGGUCCAGUCGAGGAUCAGCGCGUUGGUGAUGACCGUGUCGACCGCCCCCUCGGCGCGCGUCGCCUGCGACUGGCCCAUGCCGUCGCGGAUGA
rnacentral:sRNA from 1 species